GGGGAAUAUUGCACAAUGGGCGCAAGCCUGAUGCAGCCAUGCCGCGUGUAUGAAGAAGGCCUUCGGGUUGUAAAGUACUUUCAGCGAGGAGGAAGGCGUUGAGGUUAAUAACCUUAGCAAUUGACGUUACUCGCAGAAGAAGCACCGGCUAACUCCGUGCCAGCAGCCGCGGUAAUACGGAGGGUGCAAGCGUUAAUCGGAAUUACUGGGCGUAAAGCGCACGCAGGCGGUCUGUCAAGUCGGAUGUGAAAUCCCCGGGCUCAACCUGGGAACUGCAUUCGAAACUGGCAGGCUAGAGUCUUGUAGAGGGGGGUAGAAUUCCAGGUGUAGCGGUGAAAUGCGUAGAGAUCUGGAGGAAUACCGGUGGCGAAGGCGGUCCCCUGGACAAAGACUGACGCUCAGGUGCGAAAGCGUGGGGAGCAAAC
rnacentral:rRNA from 1 species